UGGCUCAGUGAUAGAGUGCUUGUCUUGCAUACAUGAGGCCUUAGGUUCGAUUCCUCA
rnacentral:tRNA from 1 species